rnacentral:rRNA from 1 species
UACGGGGGGGGCAAGCGUUGUUCGGAAUUACUGGGCGUAAAGGGCUCGUAGGUGGCCAACUAAGUCAUACGUGAAAUCCCUCGGCUUAACCGGGGAACUGCGUCUGAUACUGGAUGGCUUGAGGUUGGGAGAGGGAUGCGGAAUUCCAGGUGUAGCGGUGAAAUGCGUAGAUAUCUGGAGGAACACCGGUGGCGAAGGCGGCAUCCUGGACCGACACUGACGCUGAGGAGCGAAAGCCAGGGGAGCAAACGGG